rnacentral:rRNA from 1 species
CCUACGGGUGGCAGCAGUGAGGAAUAUUGGUCAAUGGCCGGAAGGCUGAACCAGCCAAGCCGCGUGAGGGAGGAAGGCGCAGAGCGUCGCAGACCUCUUUUGUCGGGGGAUAAAAGGCCGGACUCGUCCGGUUCUGAGGGUACCCGGAGAAUAAGCAUCGGCUAACUCCGUGCCAGCAGCCGCGGUAAUACGGAGGAUGCGAGCGUUAUCCGGAUUCAUUGGGUUUAAAGGGUGCGAAGGCGGCCUUUAAGGCCGGCGUGAAAGUCGGGGGGUGCACCCUCGAAGAGCCGGGGGAACUGGGGGCCUUGAGUGCGGCGGAGGCAUGCGGAAUGCGCGGUGUAGCGGUGAAAUGCUUAGAUAUCGCGCAGAACCCCGAUUGCGAAGGCAGCGUGCCAUGCCGCCACUGACGCUGAGGCACGAAAGCGCGGGGAUCGAACAGGAUUAGAUACCCUUGUAGUC